ACGUAAAUUGAUUACCAACUAAUUGAAAAUUCCACAAUUUUGAUACUUUUUAAAAUUCUAGCAUUUUAUUACCGCUUUCUUAGUUAUAUAAGAAGAAUGGAAGCUAUUAGGAAUUAGAGUGCAUAUACAUAAUUGCUCCGCUCACUUCCCUUCGAAACAAUCAGUCACAGAGCAGCUUCCGAUCACUUCCCUCUCUCCCUUCGAAACAAUCAGUCAGUGUCUCUCUCUCUCUCUCUCUCUCUCUCUUAGUUUAAUCAAUUCAAUUCCACGAUCUAUAUACUUAUAAAUUCUGAAUUGAUAUUGAUUUAAUAUCAAAUUUGCUUUUCAAAAAACAAUUUCUUCUUUUGUUUGGCGAUGAAUUCUAAUAAAUUUUAUGUAUUUUGGGUAGGUUUGUAAACCCAUUUAGCUCCUUCAUGUCGCUUCCAAAUGAAGAAAAUGAUAUGUCCUCUUCUCCCGAUGCUCAGGUAUUUCCCCUUUUACAUUCAAAGCAACACCCUCUGUUUCUUUUCGCAUUUGGGAUUUGCGGUAUUGGACCCGGAAGAAGUUGAGGGAUUUUGAACUUUUGGUUUGAAUCUAUAUGAAAAAUGGGGAAAUUUUUUGUAGGUUUUGAGUUGUUUGUGUUUAAAUGCAUUGAGAUGAAGAUGUGGGUUAGGCCGGUUGGUUAUGAUAUUGUGUCUCCCCUUUGCAGCCUAGUUCGUAUCAUUGUCCUCGUAAAUUGGAGUGGUUUAGAGUAUUGUCUUGUCAAUAGAAAAAUGAAGAUAAAAAUAAUGCAAUGAGAUGCAUUUUGUCCAUUUGUAGAUGAUUUCACAGUUAUCUGUUCUUGACCUUUUGGAAGAACAAAUUACUAGCUCUAUUGAUUUUAAUGGCUAAGUGGUUAUGUACUAAUAAGUUGUAGAUAUCUUGCUUUGGUUUGAUGAUCACAUCUUUUCGAGAAAGAGAAAAUGCUCGUGAUACAAGGGUUAUCUUCUGCCGUUUACCAAAUUCUUUGUCAAGAUGGAUGAGCAAAUUGAUGGAACAAAAGAUAUGAGUUUGUUGGCGAAUGUUCUAGUGUAUGCAACGUAGAAUAAAGACGAUUAAUGUAACCUCAAAACUUAACAUUUGAACGAUUUCGUGUGUGCAUGUAGAAAUCGGUUGUCAAGAUGGAUGAGAAAAUGCCCAUGAUACAAUGGAUCUUGCAUACUUGCUUAG
rnacentral:lncRNA from 1 species